rnacentral:tRNA from 1 species
AUGUAGCUAGCUCAGUGGUAGAGUGCUUGCCUUGCAUGCAUGAGGCCCUGGGUUCGAUUCCUCAGCACCACA